rnacentral:rRNA from 1 species
AUUCAUGCAGAGAUGACACUAUGCUCGGCAUGGCGCGGGGAUCUAGGUCACGUUGUGUGAGUGCAACUAAAAAGAAGAAGACCCCGGCGGAGGAGACCCCCCCCCCCUCCUCGGAGACCUCUGGAGGAGUCGUCCGACCUAAUGCUCAUAGUUGACACCUGAGACUACCGGGGUAUCUAAUCCCGUUCGCUACCCUAGCUUUCUGCCUCACGUCAGAAAAGACCCAGUGAGCCGCUUUCGCCACAGGUGUUCCUAAUGAUAUCAACGCAUUUCACCGCUCCACCAUUAGUUCCGCUCUGCUCUAUCUUCCUCUAGCUUGGCAGUUUUGAGCGCAGUUCCUCGGUUGACCAGGGAUUUCACACCCACUUGCCUAGUUUUUUUUACGCACCCUUUAAGCCCUGAUUCCAAUAACGUUUGGAGGUUCGUCUUACCCCCCUGCUGGCAAUUUAAGCCGUCCUUCCUCUGAAGAUAGGUCAACUAUGGGGGAGAACCCCCAUAGAUUUCCUCCCAACUGAACGGUUUACACCCGAAGGCCUUCAUCCCGGGUCUCCGUCAGGUUUCCCCAUUGCGGAAAUUUUCACUGCCCCGGGCGGGGCGGGGGCCGGGCCGGGGGAGGCGGGGAAUCCUAGGGAUUCCCGGCCCCUGCAGUCAACAAGGGAAACUCCACGG